AGGAUAAACGCUGGCGGCGUGCCUAACACAUGCAAGUCGAACGCGCUUUUUUCGCAAGAGGAGGCGCUGGAAGAUGGGCCUGCGGCCGAUUAGCUAGCUGGUGGAGUAACGGCUCACCAGGGCGACGAUCGGUAGCUGGUCUGAGAGGACGAUCAGCCACACUGGGAUUGAGAACGGCCCAGACUCCUACGGGGGGCAGCAGUGAGGAAUUUUCGUCAAUGGGGGCAACCCUGAACGAGCAACGCCGCGUGCAGGAAGAAGGUUUUCGGAUCGUAAACUGCUUUUCUCGGGGGAAGAGAACGGACGGUACCCGAGGAAUCAGCCCCGGCUAACUACGUGCCAGCAGCCGC
rnacentral:rRNA from 1 species